CAGCUCGUGUCGUGAGAUGUUGGGUUAAGUCCCGCAACGAGCGCAACCCUUAAGCUUAGUUGCCAUCAUUAAGUUGGGCACUCUAAGUUGACUGCCGGUGACAAACCGGAGGAAGGUGGGGAUGACGUCAAAUCAUCAUGCCCCUUAUGAUUUGGGCUACACACGUGCUACAAUGGACAAUACAAAGGGCAGCGAAACCGCGAGGUCAAGCAAAUCCCAUAAAGUUGUUCUCAGUUCGGAUUGUAGUCUGCAACUCGACUACAUGAAGCUGGAAUCGCUAGUAAUCGUAGAUCAGCAUGCUACGGUGAAUACGUUCCCGGGUCUUGUACACACCGCCCGUCACACCACGAGAGUUUGUAACACCCGAAGCCGGUGGAGUAACCUUUUAGGAGCUAGCCGUCGAAGGUGGGACAAAUGAUUGGGGUGAAGUCGUAACAAGGUAGCCGUAUCGGAAGGUGCGGCUGGAUCACCUCCUUU
rnacentral:rRNA from 1 species